rnacentral:rRNA from 1 species
GACGAACGCUGGCGGCGUGCUUAACACAUGCAAGUCGAACGGAAAGGCCCUGCUUUUGUGGGGUGCUCGAGUGGCGAACCGGUGAGUAACACGUGAGUAACCUGCCCUUGACUUUGGGAUAACUUCAGGAAACUGGGGCUAAUACCGGAUAGGAGCUCCUGCUGCAUGGUGGGGGUUGGAAAGUUUCGGCGGUUGGGGAUGGACUCGCGGCUUAUCAGCUUGUUGGUGGGGUAGUGGCUUACCAAGGCUUUGACGGGUAGCCGGCCUGAGAGGGUGACCGGCCACAUUGGGACUGAGAUACGGCCCAGACUCCUACGGGAGGCAGCAGUGGGGAAUAUUGCACAAUGGGCGGAAGCCUGAUGCAGCAACGCCGCGUGCGGGAUGACGGCCUUCGGGUUGUAAACCGCUUUCGCCUGUGACGAAGCGUGAGUGACGGUAAUGGGUAAAGAAGCACCGGCUAACUACGU